rnacentral:lncRNA from 1 species
UUUUAAUUAAGGAUGUACUUAGGUGAUGUUUAGUAGUUUUUGUCAAAUGUUCGGCCUUGGUUUUUUUUCCUACGAUGCAGGGUAAAAUAUCUUACCCUGUAACACAUAUUUUUCUUUUCAUAUAAGACUUAAUAGCUCAUAAAAGUGCAUUUAUCAAAUUUAAACCGAAGAGGUUCGGUUUAAAUAGGUUUCACUGUAAACAAAACUUUCUUGAAUGUUUUAACUCUUGCCAUGCUUGUCAUCCCUGUUUUAUAAUCUCUUGAAACAUUUAAAGAAUAAACCAUUAAUUGGAUAUUGCGAUAGAAGAGUUAUUUCCGCAUGAAGUUAACUGAAAUUUAAAUCGGACGUAAUAACCUUUAUGGCUUUCGAGAAAUACUUCGUGUGCAUUGACAAAAUCAAAUGUUGCAUCUAAGACAAAUCAUCUUCAAAAACGUGUAUCAUAAUUGUGUGAAACAAUUACAUGCCACUGUUUGAUGACGUUUCGUCCCCGAGGGUAUCACCAGCCCAGUAGACAGCACUUCGGUGUUGACAUGAAUAUCAAUUAUAUGGUCAUUUUUAUAAAUUUGCUGUUCGCAAAAGUAUGAAUUAUUCGAAAUACUAAGGUUUUUAUUUUCGCAAACAUGAAUUACCUUGGACGCAUUUGGCACAACUUUUUUGGAAUUUUGGGUCCUUAAUGCUCUUCAACUUUGUACUUGUUUGGCUAUUUAACUAAAUUUUUUAUCUGAGCGUCACUGAUGAGUCUUAUGUAGACGAAACGCGCGUCUGGUGUAUUAAAUUAUAAUCCUGGUACCUUUGAUAACUAUAUACAAUUAUGUGGAAAUAGGUUUGUAUGUUUUCCUUUUUUUUUUCUUUUCAAGUAUUUUAAAGUGAUUAAAGCUACCAUAACUGCCCUUUUCUGUCAUUUCUUAUUUUCAUUUUUUGUUUUUUGCUUUUCUAUCAAUGUAAGUUUUUAAGUUUUAUUUAUGGUUUUUAUAACUUUAUUUAAAGACUGAACAAAGAGUUUUUGCGUCAUGUUCAGUUGUGUGUUUUGUACUAUUAUUUGUGUGUUUUUAUUUUUAUUUUUUUAGCCAUGGCGUUGUCAGUUUAUUUUCGAUCUAUGAGUUUGACUGUCCCUCUGGUAUCUUUCGCCCCUCUUACAGUCUUAAUUAUAAGACGUAACGACUGAUCAUCCAAUUUACUUACAGUCAAGUAUAUCUGUUCAAUCUAUAUUCAAACUUUUUAAAAAUUCUGUAUUUUUGUGAUUUUACUUUUUAAAUAAAAGCAAUAGUAGUUUACCACAUUACAAUAGUCAAAAAUAGAUUGAACUGAUACAAGUCUGGGUCAAAAACAAAAACUAAAAAAAUAUUCCUUACUUGGUACAGGACAUUAUAAGAAAAAUUGUGAGUUGAACCUGGUGUUAUGAAUAACCAAACCUCUCGCUCAUAAACUCUUAUCAAGACUUAGUUUUUUAGUUUCAUACUUUUCAGUUGGUGUCAAAAUGACCGUUUAAGAUUAAAAUUCAUUUACUAGUGAAAUAUUGUUGAACAUCUCUUAUUGAUUUGGAUUAUCUUUCCUUACCACUAAGUAGAUAUAUAAAUGAAUGUACAUUUUUGUAAAUGGUUCGGCGCUGUGUCGUGAAACCUAGCUAGAAGUCUUCCUUCCUUCAUAUUUUUACCAAUAUAUAUUGAAAAGGAAAAUAACUCUUCAUGAAUUUGGAAUUAUUACAACUUUUAUUGAAACAAACACUUCUUGAAUUUGUCUUUAGUUUAUAAACAAAUCCAUUUCUACAUAUUAAUACUAUCACAUUAAAGGGGUUUUAUAAUCGAAAGGGAUAAAAGAAAAUACCCCUUAUCGUCUAAAGUCAAUUUGUCAUUAAGAGAAAAACCCUACAGAUACGGAUCCAGGAUUUCAAAAGGGGGGACGAUUGAGACAAAAUGUGUUGUGGAUCUGGUUAAAAGACUGGAUACACCAUUAAUGAAUCUCUAUAAGGAAAUCCCGGGCACCAUUUCCACCCCUCCUAAAUCUGGUUUUACACUAUUGUCUUAAAGGUAGGGGCAAUACCUUUUUAUGGUAACCUGUUUUGGCCUUUUUUUAAGGUGUUGUUAGCUGUUAUCUGAGAUAAAUUUAAACUGUUAACUUUUUUCAACCCACUGGAUUAACUGUUAUCAGUAUUUGUUUGCUCCCCUCUUAAAGAUUUCUGUUAUUAAGUGAAAAUGUAACAAAGACGAGGAAAAAACCCCAAAUUUUAUGAAAGACGAGGCGGCAGAUACUUAGAAUAUUCAAAACUCAUAAAAAAGGGAAUAUGACUAUGCCAUUAUUUCUAUUUAUAGCCUAAUAGAGAACUCCCAUAA